GAGUGCGUGCUGGCGAUAGCUGUCAGCAGAGGCAGGUCGUUGGAUUCAAUCCUGCAGAGGGGAGACAGAGCACUUUAGUGUGACUGGUACCAGGCCUGCCUUAGAUGACGGUUCAAAACGAAUUAAAAAUUAAGGUCGCUGGCAUUGUGGUCAACUUACUGCCGAGGAGGCAAAGGGACACAGACCAGGGGGUGUACGGCCCACCCGAGUGGGCAGGGACCACCUGACUGCAGCCCUAACUUUUCUGAGUUCCUGGCUAGUACAAUUUCAAUUGACUUGUAUUUCAGCUCUCCAUCUGCUUAGGCUGCAACGUUCCUGAGUGCUGACUUUGCAUCUGGGUGGGGUUUCUUCAAUACCUUGAGGAUCUGACCAACGGGUGACCCAGCUUAGAUCCCUGUGAGUUAGCCUCCUGGAAGUCCAGAAGCGCCUAAUGGCAGCUCCCCCAGGAAGUACACGCCAGCGUAGGCUGCACUGCGUGUGUCACAGCUGUUCAGUGUCUCUGGCAGAAAUGGAAUCACCCAGGAAAAAGACAAGAUCUCCGAUUAUUUGGUUCCAACAUAUUCCUACAAGUAGAAUGAUUGAAGCAAGGUCAUUUUUGGACAUUUUUUUUCCUCAUUAAAGAGUGCAAGUUAACCAGGUCUUCUGUAGCAAUAAAAAAAGGCAUUAUUUUCAGGAUGUCUUUACCCUU